ensembl:lncRNA
AAUUCUCCCAUUUAUCUUUUCUCUCAUCUCAAAUAGAAAGGAAUUGACCUUUCAGCUUCCUGAUAUGUAGAGGUGCCAGUCAGAGCAGAACCUUGCAAAGACAGAGUUCAGUCAAUGGAAUCAGAUCAGAGCUCUACCAACCACAGCCUUAAGUCAAUGGACUCCAACUAGAUUCUUAAAGAGUCAGUGUUAGGUCAAUGGACUCCUACUAGAGCCUUAAGAGUCAGAGUUAGGUCAAUGGACUCCUACUAGAGCCUUAACAGUCAGAUUUAGGUCAAUGGACUCCUACUAGAGCUUUAAGAGUCAGAGUUAGGUCAAUAGACUCCUACUAGAGCCUUAAGAGUCAGUGUUAGGUCAAUGAACUCCAACUAGAGCCUUAAGAGUCAGAGUUAGGUCAAUGGAAUCCAACUAGAGCCUUAAGAGUCAGUGUUAGGUCAAUGGACUCCAACUUAAGCCCUAGCGGUCAGUGUUAGGUCAAUGGACUCCUACUAGAGCCUUAAGAGUCCGUGUUAGGUCAAUGGACUCCUACUAGAGCCUUAAGAGUCAGUGUUAGGUCAAUGGACUCCUACUAGAGCCUUAAGAGUCAGAGUUAGGUCAAUGGACUCCUACUAGAGCCUUAAGAGUCAGUGUUAGGUCAAUGAACUCCAACUAGAGCCUUAAGAGUCAGAGUUAGGUCAAUGGAAUCCAACUAGAGCCUUAAGAGUCAGUGUUAGGUCAAUGGACUCCUACUAGAGUCUUAAGAGUCAGA